GGACCUUCUUGCUGUGAGCUGACAGUGCUACUCCUGCACCAAUUAUUCAAAUUGAAUAAUUCAAAUCUUAAGUUGACAAACCUUUCAAGUAGCCUUCAUUUAUAAACUCACCCCUCCUGCAAACCCGUUUGUUGUUCGCAGAGCAAAACGUUGAUUGUACUUCAGAGUCUCACCCACUGGACUUCCAUCCACACUGGAUAUUUUGUUUGAGAAGACCUGUUUUCUGAAUGAAUUUCAUAUUGGGCUCCGUUCGAGGAAUGCAAAUUUCAGGAAGUGUCCGCGAGAUCUACGCAGAUUCUGUAGCAAAGUGUGAGCUGAUAUUGGAGUUGGCCGAGGAUGCAAGUGUGCGAUCCCACCUCAACGAACUUGAUGAGCACAACUGCAAAUGAAGAGAGGUAACAGCAGAAUUCCGCAAAGCAAGACCAAUCGGUUCCUUCUCUAAACACUGACCAGCAAAUCUCUGAUAUGUUAUGAUCAGCAUGUCUGUAAAUUCAGUUUGUCCUGUUAUUUUGAAACCAUGAAAUCUCCCCUGAAUGUACCACUAGAGAAUUCACAUUUAUGUUUACACAUCUUGUGCCUUUUCUAAUUCUCAACAAAAAUGUCUUGUGUUGUGCAGUAUUCAGAAUAACUUCAUUUAUUUAUUUGUAUAAAAAGGAGGCCUCAAACCUUACUCAAACAGAUGACAUCACACACAGAGAAUGUUCCCAGAGGACAAUUACUGCUGGUUUAUAUUAUGUGGGAAGGUGUAUGGUGUGAACUAGCCCAGUGGAACCAGUAUUUUAGACCAAGUUAAAGCUUUUUACCACAGAUUUUACCGAUGUAAUUCCUAUACAAACACCAAAAACAGAAGCCCUUAUAAAAACCAUACAUGUACAGUACUGACUCGAAAAUGCUGGUAAAAGAUUAUGACAUUACAAGCUAUAUGACAUCUCAAAAUUAAGUCAAAUGUGUAAGAAAUAAGGUUGUACAUUUAA